CAGUGGCUUAGCUUCCUCUAGACCAGAGGACAUUCUGUGCUCCCAAAACAGAAUGCUACACAUGGGAACAAGGGAAAGGGAGGCUUUGAGAGGUCAGCCAGCAAGGCCCCUGCUUCAAGCCUAAAACCAACGUAAUUAGGUGAAGAUUGAGCAGGAUAAGGCUUUGCAAGGAACAUCCCUGCCACGUCAAGGUGAUCCCAGCAUUGCAAGUUCUCCCCUGAGGCGCAGAGCCCAGAAGACAUCAGCGUGGAAUGAAAAGAGUCAAGGAUGGAGCCCCCACAGGACUUAGCAAGAAUGCCAAGUACAUCGUGCUGUCUCCUCCCGCCUCCAUGCUGGUGCAUAUGCCGCCCUUCCUCCCUGGAAUGCCCUCGUCUUCCAGAGGCUGCUUCAUUUGAGAGCCUUCUCUGAUUCAUCCAGGCAAAUUAACAGAUAAUAACUGUUUUAGCUACUAAAUAUUAAACUCUCUCAAGGCAGGGUC
ensembl:lncRNA SMIM2-IT1 SMIM2 intronic transcript 1